rnacentral:rRNA from 1 species
UACGAAGGGGGCUAGCGUUGCUCGGAAUCACUGGGCGUAAAGCGCACGUAGGCGGCUUUCUAAGUCAGGGGUGAAAUCCUGGAGCUCAACUCCAGAACUGCCUUUGAAACUGCAAGACUUGAGUACGAGAGAGGUGAGUGGAAUUCCCAGUGUAGAGGUGAAAUUCGUAGAUAUUGGGAAGAACACCGGUGGCGAAGGCGGCUCACUGGCUCGUAACUGACGCUCAGGCGCGACAGCGUGGGGAUCAAACAGG